AUGUCUGGCACCAGCCAGCAGGGACCUGACCCCAAGGACCGAAGCAGGGACCUGGGCCCCAACCAGGCGCCCAGCGAACCCCUGGAGCAACUCCCUAUCCGCACCCCACCCUCAGCCACCCUGUCUCCAGCAUUGGAAUCCGGUGCUCUGGCCCCUGUCCCCAGAGCGCAGGAGGCGGUGCUGACCUCCACCACGGCCCCAAAGGUCUUCCCGCUGUCCCCCCGCUGUGGGGCCACGUCCGGCUCCACGUUGUCCCUGGCCUGCCUGGUCUCCGGCUACUUCCCCGAGCCAGUGACUGUGUCCUGGAACUCGGGCGCCCUGACCAGCAGCGUGCACACCUUCCCGUCCAUCCUGUGGUCCUCGGGGCUCUAUUCUCUGAGCAGCAUGGUGACCGUGCCCUCCAGCAGCACGUCCAGCCAGACGUACACCUGCAGCGUAGCCCACCCAGCCAGCAGCACCAAAGUGAACAAGGACACUGUUGAUCCCCCAGGAGCACCUUCCGUCUUCAUCUUUCCCCCAAAACCCAAGGACAUCCUCAUGAUCUCCCAGGCACCCGAGGUCACAUGUGUGGUAGUGGAUGUAGCCUCGGAUGACCUUGACAUAGAGUUCACCUGGUACGUGGACAGCACAGAGGCGAACACGGUUAAGAAGAAGGUGCAGGAGCAGCAGUUCAACAGCACCUACUGCGUGGCCAAUGCCUUCCCCAUCACGCACCAGGACUGGCUGAAGGGCAAGGAGUUCAAGUGCAAGGUCAAGAUCGGGUCUCUCCCAACCCCCAUUGAGAGGACCAUCUCCAAGGCCAAAGGACAAGCCCUGGCACCACAGGUGUACACCCCGCCCCCACACCUGGACAAGCUGGCCAAGAACACCAUCAGUGUGACCUACCUGGUCAAAGACUUUUACCCGCCGGACACCAACGUGGAGUGGAAGCACAAUGAGCAGCCAGAGCCAGAGGCCAAGUACAUCACGACCCCGCGGCUGAAGGACAAGGACGGGUCCUACUUCGUGUACAGCAAGCUCUCCAUGGACAAAGUCAGGUGGCAGCAGGGACAGGCCUUCACAUGUGCAGUGAUGCACGAGGCUCUGCACAGUCACUACACCCAGAAGACCAUCUCCCAGACUCCAGAGGUGCUCCUGGACGAGGGCUGUGUGGAGGCCCAGGACGGGGAGCUGGACGGGCUGUGGACCACCACCUCCAUCUUCACCACCCUCUUCCUGCUCAGCAUGUGCCACAGCGCCACGGUCACCCUCUUCAAGGUGAAGUGGGUCUUCUCCUCGGUGGUGCAGCUGAAGCGGACCAUGGUCCCUGACUACAGGAACAGGAUCGGACAGGGGGCUUAG